rnacentral:rRNA from 1 species
UACGGAGGGUGCAAGAGUUAUCCGGAAUCACUGGGUUUAAAGGGUGCGUAGGCGGCUAGAUAAGUCAGAGGUGAAAGUUUGUCGCUUAACGAUAGAACUGCCUUUGAUACUGUUAAGCUUGAAAGUAGGUGAGGUUGGCGGAAUGUGACAUGUAGCGGUGAAAUGCAUAGAUAUGUCAUAGAACACCGAUUGCGAAGGCAGCUGGCUAACCUAAGUUUGACGCUGAGGCACGAAAGCGUGGGUAGCAAACAGG